rnacentral:rRNA from 1 species
UACGUAGGGUGCGAGCGUUGUCCGGAUUUAUUGGGCGUAGAGCUCGUAGGCGGUUUGUCGCGUCGGCCGUGAAAUCUCCACGCUUAACGUGGAGCGUGCGGUCGAUACGGGCAGACUUGAGUUCGGUAGGGGAGACUGGAAUUCCUGGUGUAGCGGUGAAAUGCGCAGAUAUCAGGAGGAACACCGGUGGCGAAGGCGGGUCUCUGGGCCGAUACUGACGCUGAGGAGCGAAAGCGUGGGGAGCGAACAGG